rnacentral:lncRNA from 1 species
AUGCUUUCGACGUUAGCUUAUCAUGGUACAGGUCAGGAAAGACUUCUGCUAAUGUGAGUUCUGUUCUGCUGCAGGCAGAGGAGAUGGAGCGAGAUCGCCCAGGAAGGCGGACAGUGGUGCUGAACCGCCCCUACCACGCAGAGCUGAAGAAGACACUUGUUGAAAAUAUUAAGUGACCUGGAACUUGCUUUAGCCUGGUGUGGUUCAUUUUCCAGUUACCACUCAGGAAAAGCAGCAGGUGGAGGCAGCGGACAAGGACCCGUCCACAAAGAACGACUGUGAGGCACAGCUUCUGCCCUUGGCGGCACACCCUUACCCCCUACGGAGCUGGCAUGCUGCUCUCCUGCCUUGGAAGGAGCCCUGUGCUGUGUGUGUCUGGGGCAGACAGUGCUUGUUGGCUGAGACCAUGAGUUUAGGAUAUCUGGGUUCCAAUCCCAGCGUUGUCACUUGCUCUGUGAUUUUGAAUAAAUAACUCAUGCUCUGAACUUCAGUUUUCUUAAUUAGAAAAUGGGAAUAAUAGUCUCAGUUUAUUUAAAAAAAAAAUUCCAAUCUUUCCAGUCUAUCACCUAAAAUCCCGUAUGGCUUCCCAGUGCUCAGAAUAAAAUCCCAAAUUCUUGCAGUGGCAGGUGAUGGCCUAUACCCUGCUCAUUUCCUGGCCUUUCCCCAGCCUGGUUCUGCCUCAGCUAC